rnacentral:rRNA from 1 species
UAGGGAAUAUUGGACAAUGGGUGAGAGCCUGAUCCAGCCAUGCCGCGUGCAGGAAGAAGGCGUUAUGCGUUGUAAACUGCUUUUGCCAGGGGAUAAAAUGACCGUGCGCGGUUAAUUGAAGGUACCUGGUGAAUAAGCCACGGCUAACUACGUGCCAGCAGCCGCGGUAAUACGUAGGUGGCAAGCGUUGUCCGGAUUUAUUGGGUUUAAAGGGUGCGUAGGUGGCCCUGUAAGUCAGUGGUGAAAUAUCUCAGCUUAACUGAGAGGGUGCCAUUGAUACUGCAGGGCUUGAGUACAGAUGAGGUAGGCGGAAUUGACGGUGUAGCGGUGAAAUGCAUAGAUAUCGUCAAGAACACCGAUAGCGAAGGCAGCUUACCAAGCUGUAACUGACACUGAGGCACGAAAGUGUGGGGAUCAAACAGGAUUAGAUACCCGAGUAGUCCCUGAGCGGGCUGGCAAGGCGCAU